rnacentral:rRNA from 1 species
CCCUUAGAUGUUCUGGGCCGCACACGCGCUACACUGAAGGAGGCAGCGUGUACUCCUGGAUCGAAAGAUUUGGGUAACCCGCGAAUCUCCUUCGUGCUAGGGAUUGAGGUUUGCAAUUAUCCUUCAUGAAAGAGGAAUUCCCAGUAAGUGCAAGUCAUAAGCUUGCGCUGACUACGUCCCUGCCCUUUGUACACACCGCCCGUCGCUACUACCGAUUGAAUGAUUUAGUGAGGACUUCGGACUGGGACCGAUGCGGCUUUCGGGCUGCGUCGGUAUUCUGGAAAGAUGUCCAAACUGUAUCAUUUAGAGGAAGUAAAAGUCGUAACA